UGCAUCUCCAUCCACAUGGGCCAGGCUGGUGUCCAGAUCAGCAACGCCUGUGGGAGCUCUAUUGCCUAGAACACGGCAUCCAGCCCGAUGGCCAGAUGCCAAGUGACAAGACCAUCGGGGGAGGAGAUGACUCCUUCAACACCUUCUUCAGUGAGACGGGCGCUGGCAAGCAUGUGCCCAGGGCCGUGUUUGUAGACCUGGAACCCACAGUCAUUGAUGAAGUUUGCACCGGCACCUACCGGCAGCUCUUCCACCCUGAGCAGCUCAUCACCGGCAAGGAGGACGCUGCCAACAACUACGCCCGAGGGCACUACACCAUUGGCAAGGAGAUCAUUGACCUUGUCUUGGACUGCAUUCGGAAGCUGGCUGACCAGUGCACAGGUCUUCAGGGCUUCUUGGUUUUCCACAGCUUUGGAGGGGGAACUGGUUCCAGGUUCACCUCCCUGCUGAUAGAACGUCUCUCUGUCAAUUAUGGCAAGAAGUCCAAGCUGGAGUUCUCCAUUUACCCAGCCCCCCAGGUUUCCACAGCUGUAGUUGAGCCCUACAACUCCAUCCUCACUACCCACACCACCCUGGAGCACUCUGAUUGUGCCUUCAUGGUAGACAAUGAGGCCAUCUAUGACAUCUGUCGUAGAAACCUCGAUAUUAAACGCCCAACCUACACUAAUCUUAACCGCCUUAUUAGCCAGAUUGUGUCCUCCAUCACUGCUUUCCUCAGACUUGAUGGAGCCCUGAAUGUUGAUCUGACAGAAUUCCAGACCAACCUGGUGCCCUAUCCCCGCAUCCACUUCCCUCUGGCCACCUAUGCCCCGGUCAUCUCUGCUGAGAAAGCCUACCAUGAACAGCUUUCUGUAGCAGAGAUCACCAACGCAUGCUUUGAGCCAGCCAACCAGAUGGUGAAAUGUGACCCUCAGCAUGGUAAAUACAUGGCUUGCUGCCUGUUGUACCGGGGCGACGUGGUUCCCAAAGAUGUCAAUGCUGCCAUUGCCACUAUCAAGACCAAGCGCAGCAUCCAGUUUGUGGACUGGUGCCCCACUGGCUUCAAAGUGGGCAUUAAUUACCAGCCUCCCACUGUGGUGCCCGGUGGAGACCUGGCCAAAGUACAGCGAGCUGUGUGCAUGCUGAGCAACACCACAGCCAUCGCUGAGGCCUGGGCUCGCCUGGACCACAAGUUUGACCUGAUGUAUGCCAAGUGUGCCUUUGUUCACUGGUAUGUGGGGGAGGGCAUGGAGGAAGGAGAGUUUUCUGAGGCCCGUGAGGACAUGGCUGCCCUUGAGAAGGAUUAUGAGGAGGUUGGUGUGGAUUCUGUUGAAGGAGAGGGUGAAGAAGAAGGAGAGGAAUACUAAUUACCAUUCCUUUCAGCCCUGCAGCAUGUCACACUCAGAACUUUAGCUUCAACAUUACCUGACAGGCGUUAAAGCUUUCUGGUUAGAUUGUCUUCACUUUUAACUGUGAUCAUGUCUUAUCCAUGUGUAUCUGUCGCAUUUUUCCAUUAUGUCUCAAAAGUAAAGGCUUUAAGAAAGAAAAAAAAAA